rnacentral:rRNA from 1 species
CAGCCGCCACGGUAAUACGUAGGUGGCAAGCGUUGUCCGGAAUUAUUGGGCGUAAAGGGCUCGCAGGCGGUUUCUUAAGUCUGAUGUGAAAGCCCCCGGCUCAACCGGGGAGGGUCAUUGGAAACUGGGAAACUUGAGUGCAGAAGAGGAGAGUGGAAUUCCACGUGUAGCGGUGAAAUGCGUAGAGAUGUGGAGGAACACCAGUGGCGAAGGCGACUCUCUGGUCUGUAACUGACGCUGAGGAGCGAAAGCGUGGGGAGCGAACGGGAUUAGAUACCCGUGUAGUCCCUGUCUCUUAUAA